rnacentral:tRNA from 1 species
AGGGGUAUAGCUCAGUGGUAGAAUUCAUGCUUGGCAUACAUGAGAUCCUGAGUUCAAUCCCCAAUGCCUCUG